GGUGCACAUGGUAGAAGUUCACAUCAACUAUAUUGUGAAGCUCGCCUCUUCUUUCCCGUGAAUUCGCCUCGUCAAUUAUUUUGUCAGCAAGUUCACAUCGCCCUCAUGUAGAAAACUAGAAGUUCGGAUAUAAUUGUGGAGCACUGCAGUUCGCAUGGGCGUUGGUGAACAUCCCUCGGCGCACCUACCUCCGCAUCGGGUUGGUGAACAUCAGUGCACACCAAGUUCCUCGUUAGGCUGAGAUGUUUUUGCAACUGACUGGCUAUGAAGUUCACAUCUCUUUUUAGGGUAAAAUCUCAUGUGAAUUUGAGGAACCCAAACGAACAGAUGGUAUAUCAGCCUCAGAUAAUAUAAUGAAGAUUGUUGAAGAUUAUACGAGUAUGUUACGCCUAAUCUGGCUAUUGCGUACAACAGAAAUGAUGGUGACAAGCUGGGCUGCUGUUUCAAGGUCACUUGCUAGCGUAUUGAGUAUAAAUUUACUCGCGAACCGCGUCUGGCUGGGUUGUGAAAACAGAUGCAGCAGCUGGUUUGCGAACUUGCUCAAUGACCUGUGUAACUAUGAACUUGUGGCUGCUAUGUGUGUGUGUGAUUUUCAUUUACAGAUUGAGUGUUUUAUGAUUGGAAAUGUAUUCCUGUGACUUGC